rnacentral:misc_RNA from 1 species
GGUGGCCGUCUGCUUCCUUGUACGCUUUUCCCAUAUAAUAUGGGUAGUGGUCCCUUCCCCUCGAAAAAAAGAAAGCCUCUGCAAUUUUCCCUCCCAUUCUUCUUCCAAAAGAAAAUCUGCCUUCUUCUCCUCUAGAUUAUAGUUUUAUGUAAAUGCCGCUAUCUCAUAUUUGGAUAAAUUGAGAGAAACCCAUUUCUUUCUGUAGCCCAGCAGCAAGAAUCACUAUCUUGGUCGUGGGGUUUAGUUGUUGUUGAAGCACUAGUUUCUGUAUCAAUGGAAAGUGCUGAUCUUUAUAGAGCGAGUAGCAGUUUCAGAAGAGGCAGUUCUUUGGCUCGGAGAAACAAUGGUUUGGAAAUUUUUACACAAUCUUUUCGAGAAGAAGAUGAUGAAGAGUCUUUAAAAUGGGCUGCACUAGAGAAAUUGCCUACCUAUGAUCGUUUGAGGAAAGGUAUAUUAACUACGAUGACUGGCGAAGCCAGUGAAAUUGAUGUACACAGUCUUGGGUUCCAAGAAAGGAAGAAUUUGCUUGAGCGAUUGGUGAGAGUAGCGGAUGAGGAUAAUGAGAAGUUCUUGUUGAAGCUCAAGAAUCGUAUCGAUCGAGUUGGAAUUGAUAUCCCCACAAUUGAAGUCCGGUUUGAGCAUCUAACAGUUGAAGCAGAAGUCUAUGAAGGAAGCAGAGCUUUGCCUACAUUCUUUAACUAUUUUUUUAACAAGCUAGAGGGUCUCUUGAAUUAUUUCCAUAUUCUUUCAAGCAGAAAGAAACACCUGCAUAUCCUCAAAGAUGUGAGUGGUAUCAUCAAGCCAUCAAGAAUGACAUUACUUUUGGGUCCUCCAAGUUCUGGAAAGACCACCAUCUUGUUGGCUUUGGCUGGAAAGCUUGAUCCUACUCUAAAGGUUUCAGGGAGGGUCAGUUACAAUGGUCAUGACUUGGAUGAGUUUAUACCCCAGAGAACUGCUGCCUACAUCAGUCAACAUGAUCUUCAUAUAGGAGAAAUGACCGUAAGGGAAACUUUGGCCUUUUCUGCUAGAUGCCAAGGGGUUGGAAGCCGUUAUGAUCUGUUAGCAGAGCUAUCACGAAGAGAGAUUGCAGCAAAUAUUAAACCUGAUGCUGAUAUUGACGUCUUCAUGAAGGCAGCUGCAACAGAAGGUCAGGAGGCCAAUGUCAUCACAGAUUAUAUUCUAAAGGUUUUAGGACUGGAAAUCUGUGCAGAUACAAUGGUGGGGGAUGAAAUGUUGAGGGGAAUUUCUGGAGGACAAAGAAAACGUGUAACAACUGGUGAGAUGCUGGUUGGACCAGCAUUAGCACUGUUUAUGGAUGAGAUAUCUACUGGUUUGGACAGCUCGACAACUUACCAGAUUGUGAACUCACUGAAGCAAUAUGUUCAAAUUCUGAAGGGAACUGCUUUAAUUUCUCUACUCCAGCCAGCCCCAGAGACUUAUGAUCUCUUUGAUGACAUCAUUCUCCUUUCUGAUGGCCUGAUAGUGUACCAAGGUCAUCGUGAACAGGUGCUUCAGUUUUUUGAAUUCAUGGGCUUCCAGUGUCCUGAAAGAAAAGGUGUGGCUGACUUCUUGCAAGAAGUAACAUCAAGGAAAGAUCAGAUGCAAUAUUGGGCCCGUAAAGAUAAGCCUUACAGAUUUAUCACUGCCAAGGAAUUUGCUGAGGCAUAUGAGUCAUUCCAUGAGGGAAGAAGACUUGGAGAGGAGUUUGCAACUCCAUUUGAUAAAGCCAUGAGCCACCCAGCUGCUUUGACAACCAAACACUACGGUGUGGGAAAGAUGGAGCUGCUUAAAGCGAACCUCUCAAGAGAAUACUUGCUCAUGAAAAGGAAUUCGUUUGUGUACAUCUUCAAGCUCACCCAACUUAUAGUGAUGGCAACCAUUGGUAUGACGCUCUUCUUUAGGACUGAGAUGAAACGGGAUACUCUUGAAGAUGCAGGAGUUUAUUUGGGUGCUUUGUUCUUCUCCCUGAUCACCAUCAUGUUUAAUGGUAUGGCGGAGCUAUCCAUGACAAUUGCUAAGCUUCCUGUAUUCUACAAGCAAAGGAACCUCCUAUUCUUUCCUGCAUGGUCAUAUUCAAUUCCCUCAUGGAUCCUUAAAAUUCCUGUCACAUUUGUGGAAGUUGGCGUUUGGGUGUUCAUCACUUAUUAUGUCAUUGGAUUUGAUCCCAACGUUGGAAGGUUAUUUAAGCAGUAUAUGCUGCUUUUACUUGUGAACCAGAUGGCCUCUGCUCUUUUCCGAUUUAUCGCUUCAGUUGGAAGGAACAUGAUUGUUGCUAAUACAUUUGGUUCAUUUGCACUUCUUACUCUUUUUGCAUUGGGUGGCUUUAUCCUGAAACGACCGGAGAUAAAGAAAUGGUGGAUCUGGGGUUACUGGAUAUCACCACUGAUGUACGGGCAGAAUGCAAUUGUUGCUAAUGAGUUUCUUGGGCACAGUUGGAAUCAUAUUCCAGCAAAUUCAAACUCAACAGAAUCUCUAGGAGUUCAAUUUAUAAAAAAUAAUGGGUUCUUCCCACAUGCAUAUUGGUAUUGGUUGGGACUCGGGGCAUCAGCUGGAUAUAUAUUUGUCUUCAAUAUACUUUACACUGUGGCUCUCACUUUCUUAGACCAAUUUGAGAAGCCUCAGGCUAUUAUAUCUGAUGAGCCUGAAGAAAGAGAGAGAAGUGGAGGAGCCAUUCAGUUAUCACAAGUUGAAAGCAGUCAUAGAAACAACACAGCGAGUGGGACAAGUGGAAUUGAUGAAUCGAACCAUAACAAGAAAAAAGGAAUGGUUCUUCCAUUUGAACCACAUUCCAUCACUUUUGAUAAUGUUAUAUACUCUGUUGAUAUGCCCCAGGAAAUGAAAAAUCAGGGAGUCGUUGAGGAUAAGUUGGUGCUUUUGAAGGGUGUGAGUGGUGCUUUCAGGCCAGGUGUUCUCACAGCUCUAAUGGGUUCUAGUGGUGCUGGUAAAACCACUCUGAUGGAUGUGCUGGCUGGUAGAAAAACUGGCGGAUAUAUUGAGGGAAACAUCACAAUCUCUGGCUACCCUAAGAAGCAAGAAACUUUUACUAGAAUUUCGGGAUACUGUGAGCAAAAUGACAUUCAUUCUCCACAUGUUACAGUCUAUGAAUCUUUGCUAUACUCGGCUUGGCUUCGCCUACCUCCUGAAGUGAGCAGUGAAACCAGAAAGAUGUUCAUUGAGGAAGUCAUGGAGCUUGUGGAACUGAAUACACUGAGGCAAGCAUUAGUUGGGUUGCCUGGUGUAAAUGGUCUGUCAACUGAGCAACGCAAGCGUCUAACCAUUGCGGUUGAGCUAGUGGCAAACCCCUCAAUCAUUUUUAUGGAUGAGCCAACUUCAGGGCUAGAUGCAAGAGCUGCAGCAAUAGUUAUUAGAGCAGUUAGAAACACAGUGGAUACUGGAAGAACAGUUGUCUGCACCAUCCAUCAGCCAAGCAUUGACAUAUUUGAAGCUUUUGAUGAGCUAUUCCUAUUGAAGCGAGGAGGACAAGAGAUAUAUGUAGGGCCAUUGGGUCAAUAUUCUUGCCAUCUAAUUAAGUAUUUUGAGGGAAUUGAAGGAGUCAACAAAAUCAAAGAUGGUUAUAAUCCAGCAACUUGGAUGUUGGAAGUUACCUCUUCAACACAAGAAAUAGCUUUAGGGGUUGAUUUUGCUGAUAUCUACAGAAAUUCAGAGUUGUACAGGUAAUUUAUUGAAAACAGCUUAUUAUUUAGAAUAAGCAGAGCACUGAUUUGUGGAAAUUUUGCAGGAGAAACAAAGCUCUUAUUAAGGAUUUAAGCAAGCCUGCUCCUGGUUCAAAGGACCUCUAUUUUCCUAAUCAAUAUUCAGAGUCAUUUUUCGUUCAAUUUUUGGCAUGCUUAUGGAAACAACGUCUGUCAUAUUGGCGUAAUCCACCAUACACUGCUGUCAGAUUUCUCUUUACAACCUUCAUAGGCUUGAUCUUCGGAACAAUGUUCUGGGAUCUUGGCUCCAAAAUGACAAAGCAACAAGAUCUUUUUAAUGCAAUGGGUUCAAUGUACGCUGCAGUUCUAUUCCUUGGCAUUCAAAAUGCAUCAUCUGUGCAGCCAGUGGUAGCUAUUGAACGAACAGUGUUCUAUAGAGAGAGAGCUGCUGGAAUGUACUCAGCCUUGCCAUAUGCCUUUGGACAGGUUGUGAUUGAACUUCCAUAUAUUUUUGUGCAAGCUGCAGUAUAUGGUGUUUUAGUCUAUGCAAUGAUUGGAUUUGAAUGGACUGUCUCUAAGUUCUUUUGGUAUUUAUAUUUCAUGUACUUCACAUUAUUAUACUUCACCUUCUAUGGCAUGAUGAAUGUGGCGUUGACACCAAACCAACAUAUUUCAUCUGUUGUUUCUUCUGGGUUUUAUUCAAUGUGGAACCUUUUUUCAGGGUUCAUAGUCCCAAAAACUGUAAGUAUUUUCUAUUCAAGUUCCUUGAUGCCUGAAUGUUCAACUUUGUUCCUGCAUUUAUCAUCUCUGUUUACAACAGCGGAUUCCUGUAUGGUGGAGAUGGUACUAUUGGGCAUGUCCAGUGUCAUGGACCUUGUACGGAUUAGUUGUAUCGCAGUUUGGAGAUGUAAAGGAUACACUUGAGACAGGACAAACAGUGGAAAAUUUUGUGAAAAUAUAUUUUGGUUUCAAACAUGGUUUCCUGGGAGUGGUUGCAGCUGUGGUUAUUGGGUUUGGAGCACUCUUUGCAUUUAUAUUUGCUAUUUCCAUUAAGGUGUUUAAUUUCCAAAGGCGGUAGUUUUAUGCACUAAUUGUACUUGUUCAUUGCUGUAUGUAAACUUUAUUUAUUGCAAUGUAAACCUUCUCAUUCAAAUCCUUUGAGAAGGCAAUGGAACAUGGUGGCGAUAUUCUGCCAGAGCCCACAGGGAAAAUAUUUCUAUAAGCUGCUAAGUGUAACAUGCAAUUCCUCAUG